GUUUCUGUAGUUAAAUAAAAACGAUAGCUUUUCAAGUUGUAGCUCUGGGUUGAAGUCCCAGCAGGAAUA
rnacentral:tRNA from 1 species